rnacentral:rRNA from 1 species
AACAACGGAUCUCUUGGCUCCAGCAUCGAUGAAGAACGCAGCGAAACGCGAUAUGUAGUGUGAAUUGCAGAAUUCAGUGAAUCAUCGAAUCUUUGAACGCACAUUGCGCCUCCCAGCAUCCUGGGAGGCAUGCCUGUCCGAGCGUCGUUU